rnacentral:rRNA from 1 species
UACAGAGGGUGCAAGCGUUAAUCGGAUUUACUGGGCGUAAAGGGCGCGUAGGCGGUCGUGACAAGUCACUUGUGAAAUCUCCGGGCUUAACUCGGAACGGUCAAGUGAUACUGUCGGACUAGAGUACAGAAGGGGCAACUGGAAUUCUCGGUGUAGCGGUGAAAUGCGUAGAUAUCGAGAGGAACACCUGCGGCGAAGGCGGGUUGCUGGGCUGACACUGACGCUGGAGGCGCGAAAGCUAGGGGAGCGAACGGG